GCUCGCUGAGGAGCGGGAGAGGGAGCGGCGCUGCCGGCGGGUCCGGGCGAGCCUCGCCACCUCCUGGCCAGCGCCGGCACCGGCGCGGCUCCGGCUCCGGCCGCUCCGAGCUGCGCUCCCGCAGAGCUCCGGCCGCGCCGAUUGCCCCGGGCUCCGCUAUCACAGAGCUCCGGCCGCCCCGGGCUCCGCUAGCACUGAGCUCCGGCCGACCCGGGCCCCGCUCCCACAGAGCUCCGGCCGUUCCGAGCUCCUCCGGCCGCCCUCAGCUCCGCUCUCACAGAGCUUCUCCGGCCGCCCUCAGCUCCGCUCUCACAGAGCUCCAGCCGCCCCAGGCCCCGGCCGCCCUCAGACCCACUCUGACACAGCUCCUCCGGCCGCCCCAAGUUCCACUCUCACAGAGCUCCGGCCGACCCGAGCCCUCUGGCCUACCCGAGCCCCGCUCUCACAGAGCUCCGGCCGCCCCAAUCUCCACUCUGUGUCACGGAGCUCCGGCCGCCCCAGCCCCGCUCUCACAGAGCUCCGGCCGCCCCAAUCUCCACUCUGUGUCACGGAGCUCCGGCCGCCCCUAGCCCCGCUCUCACAGAGCUCCGGCCGCCCCAUCUCCACUCUGUGUCACGGAGCUCCGGCCGCCCCUAGCUCCGCUCCCACAGAGCUCCGGCCGCCCCAUCUCCACUCUGUGUCACGGAGCUCCGGCCGCCCCUGGCUCCGCUCCCACAGAGCUCCGGCCGCUCCGAGCUCCGGCCGCCCCCAGCUCCGCUCUCCCAGAGCCCCGGGCACGCAGGACCGUGUCAGUGCCAGCCGGCCGCGAUGUUUGUAAUGUCAAAACCCAGUAAUUCACCUUAAGGCAAUCCCUGCAUGCCAGUGAUCCCAGGCAUGGUGAAAGGUCCUGCACACUGCAUCAGUGGUGACUUUCUUGCUCCUGUUGGACUUUGCAAACACAGGAAGAGGCUAGGAGAUACUGGGCAGCAUUUUCCUCUCUGAUAAGUUGCCACUAACUUGAGACCUGAAUGCAGUGUCAGAGAAGGACUGAUGUGAAGAGGACUAGCUCCAGUCACAGCUGCAAGAGCCAAAUGCAAAUGUUUAAACACUCCUUCCCAGAGGCUGAAGAGUUGAUUAGAGAAGAAAAAGAAAAGUAUUCCAUGUGCUGGAAUAGAACUGCACUUCUCCUGUCACUGAUCUUCAGGUCUGGCAAAGAAAUCAGCUGUGCCCUCAAUCAUCCCCCAGGCUGAAAGCACUUAUAUCCAAGAGCUUCAGAGUAAAAAGUCAGCUAAUCAACAAACAGACGACCAAACAAAAGAUUUAUUGGUCAAGAGUGGACUAUUUUUCAAUUAGUUCCUAAUCUGUGCAGUCCUGACCAAAACCUGACUGGGACACCAGUCUAACAGUCAUGAAAGGCUCACCAACAGUAGUGCAAGGUGUACCUGAAAGCCACUGAGGCACACUUUGAUUCCAGGCUUUACAUAGGCACACUUUGAGGCACAUUUCCUUGUGCUCCAGACCUUUGCCAGCAAGCCUACAAAGCUCAGUUUCUCUCCAAUUUUGGUGAAUUGUCACAUUUACUAGUGCUGCUUCUUGCUUAUAUUUUGAUGUAAAUUUUAAUCUGGACUGCAAAACUUUGGGUCCAUCUGCCCAUACAAGGUUACAAAACCCCAGGACUUUAAACAGAGCUGCCUAAAAGUAACAGAACUGGGUAAUGUUGAAAGGCUUUCCUCUCUCCUUCCUGCACAACUCACUGAGAGAAACUGAUGACUAUUUUGAAGAGCAGACCACCAACAUCUAGAACUCUGGAAUCACAGGUCAAAUCUCAGCAGGGCUCACUCAACUCUUCAUCCUUCCAAAGUACCUAAUGUAAGUAAACAUGGGGCAUCAGGUUGAAACCUUGAAAGAGGAGCACCUGCCAGCACUAAGUUAAAAUAUCUCCUAAGAGUUUGGCCAUAGACCUACUCUGCUGGUGGUCCUGGGCAAAAUUUCCCUUCCAAAUUUCAGUCUUGAUAAAGGCCCCUUCUCCCUUGUAGGAGGCUGUAUGAAUAUAGCUCUUGGAAGCUGUAAAUAAAAGUGAUCAAAUGUUCAGCAUCCAAACAGUUUUUUAUGCAGAAUUUUGUUUCCAAGUGUCAAGAGUAUCCUUCCAGAAAAAAAAGUCAAACCACAAACAAAAAACAGACCAAAACAAAUAAAAAAAAACUCAAUGAGAGUUUAACAAACUUACAUUUCUCAGACAGAUUAAAAAAAAUCAGUUUUCUUUUCCAAGAAAAAAAAUUGAGACCUAAAACCCUACAGUUUUUACAAGCAAUACUUCAUGCUAGUUUUAGGUGUAGUUAGAUUUUCACUGAUUGCUUUAAUCAAAGUAGGCAAGCCAGUUCAUUAAAAGAGGCAAGAUCAUGAAAGGCAUAUAUUGUAUAUCUGAUAAAUAUCUUAAGUAAAAAACAAAUUAAUUAAAAUUAAUUAAAAUAAACAAAAAAAUUCUUCACUGAAAGUGUGGCCAAGCAUUGGAAUGGGCUACCCAGGGAAAUGGAAUCACUAUCCCUGGAAGUGUCCAAAAAAUGUGUAGAUGUGUCACUAAAAGACUCAUUUUUGUGGUACAUGGAAGUGUUAGUGGUUGGACUAGAUCAUCUUGGACAUCUUUUGCACUCUUAAAGAUUCUGUGACAUAAUUAUGUCACAGUUAUUUGAAAUGGGUAUGACAAGACACAUCUUUCUAGCCAGUGUUGUAGUGGGACAAUAAAAUGUCAUUUUUUCCCAAAGUUUACCAAUAGGUUAAAGUUAGAGGUGAGAAAAAUAAAAGCCUUUGAUGAUAUCAGAUCCAAGUUAUCAGA